rnacentral:rRNA from 1 species
GAUGAACGCUGGCGGCGUGCCUAAUACAUGCAAGUCGAGCGAACGGACGAGAAGCUUGCUUUUCUGACGUUAGCGGCGGACGGGUGAGUAACACGUGGAUAACCUACCUAUAAGACUGGGAUAACUUCGGGAAACCGGAGCUAAUACCGGAUAAUAUUUUGAACCGCAUGGUUCAAUAGUGAAAGACGGUCUUGCUGUCACUUAUAGCUGGAUCCGCGCUGCAUUAGCUAGUUGGUAAGGUAACGGCUUACCAAGGCAACGAUGCAUAGCCGACCUGAGAGGGUGAUCGGCGACACUGGAACUGAGACACGGACCAGACUCCUACGGGAGGGAGCAGUAGGGAAUGUGCGGCAAUGGGCGAAAGCCUGACGGAACAACGACGCGUGAGUGAUGAAGGUCUCCGGAUCGGAAAACCCUGUUAUUAGGGAAAAACAAAUGUGGAAGUAACUGUGCACAUCUUGACGGUACCUAAUCAGAAAGCCACGGCUAACUACGUG